rnacentral:rRNA from 1 species
GUAAACGGCGGCCGUAACUAUAACGGUCCUAAGGUAGCGAAAUUCCUUGUCGGGUAAGUUCCGACCCGCACGAAAGGCGUAACGAUUUGGGCACUGUCUCAACAACAGACUCGGUGAAAUUGUAAUUCCGGUGAAGAUGCCGGAUACCUGCGACAGGACGGAAAGACCCCAUGGAGCUUUACUGUAGCUUGACAUUGGGUCUUGGUACUACAUGUACAGGAUAGGUGGGAGGCUUUGAAACCAGGACGCCAGUUUUGGCGGAGCCAUCCUUGGGAUACCACCCUUGUAGUACUGGGACUCUAACCAUAGGCCAUGAAUCUGGUCUUGGGACACUGUCAGGUGGGCAGUUUGACUGGGGCGGUCGCCUCCCAAAAGGUAACGGAGGCGCUCAAAGGUUCUCUCAGUACGGUCGGAAAUCGUACGUAGAGUGUAAAGGCAAAAGAGAGCUUGAUUGCAAGACAUACAGGUCGAGCAAGGAUGAAAAUCGGACUUAGUGAUCCGGUGGUUCUGCGUGGAAGGGCCAUCGCUCAACGGAUAAAAGCUACCCUGGGGAUAACAGGCUUAUCUCCCCCAAGAGUCCACAUCGACGGGGAGGUUUGGCACCUCGAUGUCGGCUCAUCACAUCCUGGGGCUGUAGUAGGUCCCAAGGGUUGGGCUGUUCGCCCAUUAAAGUGGUACGCGAGCUGGGUUCAGAACGUCGUGAGACAGUUCGGUCCCUAUCCGUCGCAGGCGUAGGAAAUUUGAGAAGACCUGUCCUUAGUACGAGAGGACCGGGAUGGACGUACCUCUGGUGUACCAGUUGUUCUGCCAAGGGCAUGGCUGGGUAGCUAUGUACGGAAUGGAUAAGCGCUGAAAGCAUCUAAGCGCGAAGCCAACUUCAAGAUAAGAUUUCCCACCGCAAGGGUAAGACCCCAGAAAGACUAUCUGGUUGAUAGGUCGAAGGUGUAAGUGCAGCAAUGUAUUUAGCUUAUCGAUACUAAUAGGUCGAGGACUUGACCA